GUCGAACGCUGGCGGCGUGCUUAAUACAUGCAAGUCGAACGCAGUGGGGACGGGUGAGUAACACGUGGGUAACCUCCCAUCAGAGGGGAUAACACUUGGAAACAGGUGCUAAACCGAUACUGAUGGAUGGACCUGCGGUGCAUUAGCCACUUGGUGGGGUAACGGCUCACCAAGGCCACGAUGCAUAGCCGGCCUGAGAGGGUGAUCAGACACACUGGCACUGAGACACGGCCAAGACUCCUACGGGAGGCAGCAGUAGGGAAUCUUCGGCAAUGGACGAAAGCCUGACCGAGCAACGCCGCGUGAGUGAAGAAGGUUUUCGGAUCGUAAAGCUCUGUUGGUAGAGAAGCGGUAUCUGACCAGAAAGCAACGGCUAACUACGUGCCAGCAGCCGCGGUAAUAC
rnacentral:rRNA from 1 species